GUGCACCAGGCGAGAAACCUCCGCAAUGCUCGAAAGAGCGACGGGGGGACUCCAAGUGCCUACGCUUUGCGUAGGCUUUUCCCAAGCCUAAAAAGCUUGGGGAAUAAGGGCUGGGUAAGACGGGUGCCAGCCGCCGCGGUAAUACCCGCAGCCCGAGUGGUGGCCGCUUUUAUUGGGCCUAAAGCGUCCGUAGCCGGUCUGGUAAAUGCCUGGGUAAAUCGUCUGGCUCAACCAGACGAAUUCCGGGUAGACUGCCAGACUAGGGACCGGAGGAAGGAGAGGGUACUCCGGGGGUAGGGGUGAAAUCAGCAAGGUGAGUUGUUGAUGUAACUUGCCUUGCAAGUCACAAUCCUGUAAUCCUCGGAGGACCACCGGUGGCGAAGGCUCUCUCCUAGGACGGGUCCGACGGUGAGGGACGAAAGCCAGGGGA
rnacentral:rRNA from 1 species